rnacentral:lncRNA from 1 species
GGUUGCCGUCUGCCACCAAUCCGCGCAGGGCAGCGAGGAGGAGCCACAGGGCUGAGCUCGGUUGCGGCGCAGCCCCGCCGCAGUGCGCAAAGCCAUAUUCGCGAAGUCUCUGAGGCUGAGCCAGUGGCGUAAGGGGCGCCGAGCGCUGUCGAGAUGAGGGUUGCGUGCGUAAAGCCGGAGAGCCCUUUUGAGUCUGCGUUGGCGUGGCUGCUGCUUCUUGCUCCAGUCCCUUUGUUCACUGAGUCCAUAUGCCAUGCUCCAGUUGUAUCAUCCCCUUUUCCCUCGACCUCGUUUUCUCACCGGGAAUAUGGGAAGAAAACGCACCCUUACCUCCCCCGAACCCUGUGCGUGGCGAGUGAGCAUUGCUUUUCUUGGCGCCCCUUGGAGCUGUGGCUGCCCUCGCGUGCCUGGCCUCUCCCGGGGCUGAGCCCUUCGGGUUGAGGCCUGGAGCCCCCGGGCGCAGCGCCGGGACACUACCCGGCUCCAGGUCCUCGGCUUCGGCAGCCUUAGGGAACCCAGAAAGUAGUGGGGAGGAGGCGAGACGUGCGCCCGGAUGCCAAAGGGGAGCUUCAUUCAGCUCCUUAUUGGCCCACCCCCUGCAGAGUGAAUGAGAAAGUGAUGAAAGGAAGGGGUUGAUUUUCUUCGAACCGCACAGAAGAAGCUGCUUUUCCCAUAGGAAUGUCCGGCUGGCGGUCACCGAGGAAAACACCCUGUGUGUCAGACUUCCGCGGGUGUUUGGAGGAUUUCGAAUUGCUAGCUCCUGUUUUUUUUUGUUUUUUGUUUGUUUAAGUGCACGUUAAACAUUGUCAGUUGUGUAUUUUCAUUUUAUUUAAGGUUCACCAUAAGAAAUAGGAUUAAGCUUUUCAAAGCCGGCAAGUUGAACUAUUUAUACUUACCAGAGACAAGGCCUUGCUCUGUUACACAGGCUGGAGUGCAGUGGUGUGAUCAUAGCUCACUACAACCUUGAACUCCUGGGCUCAAAGAAUCCUCCGGCCUCAGCCUCCCAAGUAGCUAGGACUACAGGCACAUAUUACCAUGCCUGACUACUUUUAAAACUUUUUUUUUCCUAAGAGAUAGGGUCUAGCUAUGUUGCCCAGGUUAGUCUUGAACUCCUCACCUCAGCCUCCCAAAGUGCUGGGAUUACAGGUGUAAUCCCACCACACCCAGCCCCAUAUCUGUUUUUUAAACUUUUUUUCCAGUGAUCUUUCCUUGACUUUAUACUUUCUCUCUUAAUAGAGCACAGAGUGAGCAGAAGUAAACAAAAUAGACACUAGAAAAACACAGAAAAGAUCAAUGAAACUAAGUGGUGGCUUUUAUAAAAGCUAAAAAAAUCAAUAAACCUUUAACUAGACUAGCAGAGAAAAAGAGAAGACGUGAAUAAAAUCAGAAAUGAGAAAGGAGACAUUACAAUUGAUACAACAGAAAUAGAAAAGAUCAUGAGGCUACUCUGAACAAUUAUAACCAACAAAUUGGAUUAACUAGAAGAAAUGGAUAAUUUCCUUGACACAUAAAACCUACCAAAAUUGAAUUAUGGAGAGAAAGAAAAUCUGAAUUGACCAAUAACAGGUAGGAGACUGAAUCAGUAGUAAAAAGUCUCUCAUCAAAGAAAAGCCCAGGACCACAUGGUUGCACUGGUGAAUGCUACCAAACAUUUAGAGAAUAUUCCUUGUUUGAAUAUUUUUGAUUAGUGAUUCAAACUGCUUACUCAUUAUUGGUCUAUUCAGAUUUUCUAUUUUUCAUGGUUCAGUCUUCCUAGGUUGUAUGUGUCUAGGAACUUAACCAUUUCUUCUAGGUUAUCCAGUUUGCUGGCAUGUAAUUGUUCAUAGUAGUCUCUUAAGAUCCUUUGUGUUUCUGUGGUACCCAUUGUAAUGUCUCCUCUUUCAUUUAUAGUUAUUUGAGUCUCCUGUCUUUCUUAGCCUAGAUAAUGCUUUGUCAAUUUUCGUUUUUUAAAAAAAAUUUAGUUCACUGAUCUUUUCUUUUGUUUUUCUAGUCUCUAUUUCACUUGUGCUCUAAUCUGUAUUAUUUCCUUACCUCUGCAAACUUAGUUUGUUCUUGUUUAUCUAGUUCCUUCAGAUGGAAAGUUAUUUAUUUAAGAUCUUUCUUUUUCUUAAUUAGGUAUUUAUUGCUGUCACUUUCCCUCUUGAACUCCUUUUGCUGCAUCUCAUAAAUGUGUGUGUGUGUGUGUGUGUGUGUGUGUGUGUGUGUGUGUGUGUGUGAUAGAUCUCACUCUUUUGCCCAGGCUUGAGUGCAGUGGUGUGAUCUUGGCUCACUGCAACCUCCGCCUCCCAGGUUCAAGCAAUUCUCCCACCUCAGCCUCCCAAGUAGCUGGGACUACAGGUGCCUGCCAUCACGCCCGGCUACUUUUUGUAUUUUUAGUAGAGAUGGGGGUUUCACCAUGUUGGCCAGGCUAGUCUUGAACUCCUGACCUCGAGUGAUGUGCCAGCCUUGGCCUCCCAAAAUGCUGAGAUUACAGGCAUGAGCCACUGCACCUAGCCACAUCCCAUAAAUUUCGGUAUGUUGUGUUUCCAUUUUCAUUUGUCUUAAGAUAUUUCUGAUUUCUUCUUUGACCCAUUGGUUGUUCAGGAGUGUUAAUUCCACAUACUUGCAAAUUUUCCAAGUUUUCUCCUGUUAAUUAUUUCCAGUUUCAUACCAGUGUGUGAAACCUUUCCUUGAUGUAGUAAUAGAUAUAAAUACACACAUAUGUAUAGGUUUCCAUCUAUGAUUCCUGGCUCAUAACUCCCAGAGUCCUUGUUACAGUCUUUUGUUACAAUGUUGGUAUGUUAGGCCUCUCUGACUUUCUCCAGUGUUCCUUUCACCUGCCCCAAGGCAGGUCUGUAAUCUGAUUGUGGGUCAUAAGACCACCAUUCCAGAGAGGGUCCCAUCCCAUACCCUGGGGGAAGGAAUGCUAACGUCACGAAGCUUCUAUAAAAAGCCAGGAUGACUGGAUUUAGAGAGCUUCUGGAUAGCUGAACACAUGCAAGUUCCUGGAGGGCAGCUCGCCCAGGGAGGGCAUGGGAGUUCUGUGCCCCUUCCCCCAUACCUCACCCUGAGCAUCUCUUCAUCUGUAUCCUUUGUAAUAAAAUAAAUUGGUAAACAUGUUUCCCUGAGUUCUGUGAGUCACUAUAGCCAAUUAAUUGAACCCCAAGAGGGAUUGUGGGAACCCCAACUUGAAGCCAGUUGUCAGAAGUUCCAGAGGCCCCAGACCUGUGACUGGUGUCUAGCAGUGUUGGGAGAGGGAAAGAGGACAAUCUUUGGGGGGCUGAGCCCUUACCCUGUGGGAUCAGACACUAUUUCCAGGUAGAUAGUGUUGG